GACGAACGCUGGCGGCGUGCUUAACACAUGCAAGUCGAACGGAAAGGCCUGCGUUCCCUUGUGGAUUGCGGGUACUCGAGUGGCGAACGGGUGAGUAACACGUGAGUGAUCUGCCCCCAACUUGGGUAUAAGCCUGGGAAACUGGGUCUAAUUCCCGAUAGGACUGCAGGGUGGUGCCUGUGGUGGAAAACGAUUUUCUAGUGGUUGGGGAUGAGCUCGCGGCCUAUCAGCUUGUUGGUGGGGUAAUGGCCUACCAAGGCGGCGACGGGUAGCCGGCCUGGGAGGGUGGACGGCCACAUUGGGACUGGGAUACGGCCCAGACUCCUACGGGAGGCAGCAGUGGGGAAUAUUGCACAAUGGGCGGAAGCCUGAGGCAGCGACGCCGCGGGGGGGAUGACGGCCUUCGGGUUGUAAACUCCUUUCGACCGCGAGGAAGCCACCUGGUUGGAAGGGUGGUGACGGUAGUGGGAGAAGAAGCACCGGCUAACUACGUG
rnacentral:rRNA from 1 species